CCUACGGGUGGCAGCAGUGAGGAAUAUUGGUCAAUGGACGCAAGUCUGAACCAGCCAUGCCGCGUGCAGGAAGACGGCUCUAUGAGUUGUAAACUGCUUUUGUACGAGGGUAAACGCAGAUACGCGUAUCUGUCUGAAAGUAUCGUACGAAUAAGGAUCGGCUAACUCCGUGCCAGCAGCCGCGGUAAUACGGAGGAUUCGAGCGUUAUCCGGAUUUAGUGGGUUUAAAGGGUGCGUAGGCGGUCGGAUAAGUUAGAGGUGAAAUCCCGAGGCUCAACUUCGGAAUUGCCUUUGAUACUGGUCGGCUUGAGAGUAGUUGCGGUAGGCGGAAUGUAUAGUGUAGCGGUGAAAUGCUUAGAGAUCAUACAGAACACCGAUUGCGAAGGCAGCUUACCAGGCUACUUCUGACGUUGAGGCACGAAAGCGUGGGGAGCAAACAGGAUUAGAUACCCUUGUAGUC
rnacentral:rRNA from 1 species